rnacentral:rRNA from 1 species
GAAGCCGGGGGCUUGGAUCAGAGUGCCAAGUGGGCCAAUUUUGGUAAGCAGAACUGGCGCUGUGGGAUGAACCAAACGCCGAGUUAAGGCGCCUCAAUCGACGCUCAUGUGAAACCAUGAAAGGCGUUGGUUGCUUAAGACAGCAGGACGGUGGCCAUGGAAGUCGGAAUCCGCCAAGGAGUGUGUAACAACUCACCUGCCGAAGCAACUAGCCCUGAAAAUGGAUGGCGCUGUAGCGUCGUGCCUAUACUCGGCCGUCAACGGCAAAGAUGGUCGGGCUUCGGUUCGACUGUUACGCCUUGACGAGUAGGAGGGCCGCGGCGACGUGCGUAGAAGGGUCUGGGCGUGAGCCUGCCUGGAGCCGUCGUCGGUGCAGAUCUUGGUGGUAGUAGCAAAUACUCCAGCGAGGCCCUGGAGGACUGAUGUGGAGAAGGGUUUCUUGUGAACAGCUGUUGCACAAGAGUCAGUCGGUCCUAAGCCCUAGGAGAAAUCCGAAGCGAUGGGUUGCCGUUCAAAUGACGUUUGUUGGCACCCGUUCGGGCGAAAGGGAAUCCGGUUCCUAUUCCGGAACCUGGCAGUGGAACCGUUCCAAUUCGGGCCCUCUGAGGACUCGUCAGGGCAACCUGAAUAGACCCGGAGACGCCGACAGGAGGUUGGGAGAGAGUUGUCUCUUCUCUAUAAGCGAUCGAGUUCCCUGGAAACUUCUAGCAAGGAGAUAGGGUUUGGAUCGCGAAGAGCACUGCAGUUACGGCAGUGUCCCAAUCUUCCUCUCGGACCUUGAAAAUCCGGGUGAGGGCCACGAGGAACACCACGCCAGACCGUACCCAUAUCCGCAGCA